UACGUAGGUGGCAAGCGUUAUCCGGAUUUAUUGGGCGUAAAGAGAGUGCAGGCGGUUUUCUAAGUCUGAUGUGAAAGCCUUCGGCUUAACCGGAGAAGUGCAUCGGAAACUGGAUAACUUGAGUGCAGAAGAGGAGAGUGGAAUUCCACGUGUAGCGGUGAAAUGCGUAGAGAUGUGGAGGAACACCAGUGGCGAAGGCGGCUACCUGGUCUGCAACUGACGCUGAGACUCGAAAGCAUGGGUAGCGA
rnacentral:rRNA from 1 species